UACAGAGGGGGCAAGCGUUGUUCGGAAUUACUGGGCGUAAAGGGCGCGUAGGCGGCCUGCUAAGUCGAACGUGAAAUCCCUGGGCUCAACCCAGGAACUGCGUCCGAUACUGGUUGGCUUGAAUCCGGGAGAGGGAUGCGGAAUUCCAGGUGUAGCGGUGAAAUGCGUAGAUAUCUGGAGGAACACCGGUGGCGAAGGCGGGAUCCUGGGCCAGUACUGACGCUGAGGAGCGAAAGCGUGGGGAGCAAACAGG
rnacentral:rRNA from 1 species